CGGAUUCCGGCGAUGAGGAUACACUAGUUGUAAACUCGGUUGUGAAUCCUUAUGAAAACGAGCCUUUGGCAAACGACGCCGAGGAGAAUUUCGUGUCUGUCGAAGACGACGCAGAUGGCAUCGACCCUCGGACGUUGGAAGCGAGAUUCGAAGGAACGGCUCAAUUGGAAGAAUGGUGCGCAUGUAGCUUGUGUCGAACGGAAAUGCUUACAGAUGCUAUCGAAUACCGAUGUUGUAGAGAGGUAGGGCCUGCUUUGCAUCAACUGGUGUUCGAUGGCAGCAUUGAAAAAAUAAGCUGUGUCACCCUUCAUGAGGAAUAUACGGUGAUGACCCAUCCAACAGUCUUGAAAAAUGUUGGCCCACUUUUGAGAGACAAAGAUGGAAGGUCAUACAAGCGCCGUGGGAUCCAUGAAAAUGAAUACUUAAGAGCAGUUGCAUACCGGUGGAUUAUUCGAUGGCUGUGUGGAUGCCUUGGUUGGGAAAAUUCUAGACCUUUACCUGCAUGCAUCUACACAGACAUUAGAAAGAGAUUUCCAC